UGACAUCAUCUCAGUUGGCAGCAGUGCCCUGGAAUGUGAUGUUGAGAUAAGUGCCGAGGCCAGAGAGAAAGUUGACCAUGAUUGAUUAGUGAUGUCUGCUACAGUCACUGAAGGGAUAGUAUAGGACAUAGGCACUGAGAAUAGAGGAUUAUAGAAUAUGCUAGUAUUUAACAGGACGGUGCACACAAGAGGGAACUCUGUAAGGCUUCUCUGCAAAAAGAUGCAGCAAUAAUCUACCUGAAAACCAAAAUAGCAAGCAGUAACGGCUAGCCACCAAAAGCUGUCAGACCCACAUGUAACAACCAAUCUGAGAGAGAGCCAUCUGAAAAAGAAGCUGGCAUUUGCAUCACACCCUUUCGAUGUUUUCAUAUUUAUGAUCUCAUUUGAUUUUCAUGACAACUCUGAGGGCGGGAGCCAGCGUUACUGCUACCUGACAAAUGGGGAGGGUGAGGCCAAAGAAGGUCCAGAACUCACUCAAGGUUGCAUAACUAUUCAGGAGAUAGAGUCUUUUCAGGUCCUCAUCCUUCCCUUUGCACACCCCUGACUCACUGACAGCAUCUGCUGUGGCAGCCCAGGACAAAGCUAUAAAUGGCCCAUUGUAUGUGUACUCAGCAGAGAGAUGGCCCUGGGGACACAUUUAUUUGUGUGCCUUUGGGCAGUUACCCAACCAGCCCCAGCACCUUUGAACGUGAAAGGCACCACAGGCUCCAAGCCUUUGUCUAUUCACGUUUUUGGAAUCAUUACUAAAGUAAACUUUGACUUAUCCUCUUAUACAGAGAAUAAAAAUCCUCAGGAAGGUUGUUUCACUUGGCUUUGGUUUCCUCAACUGCAAAAUGAGGCUGGACUUGAUUGGUUCAUCUUCCAGGGUAGCACACAUCAUCACACUUUCAUGAUAAUGGCCAAGGCUUUCANGGAAUCUCAAUGA
rnacentral:lncRNA from 1 species